GACGGGGGGUCCUAGCGUUGUUCGGAAUCAUUGGGCGUAAAGCGUGCGCAGGCGGUUUUGUAAGCCAGAUGUGAAAGCCCCGGGCUUAACCUGGGAAUGGCAUUUGGGACUGCAAGGCUUGAGUGCGGCAGAGGAGACUGGAAUUCCCGGUGUAGCAGUGAAAUGCGUAGAUAUCGGGAGGAAUACCGAUGGCGAAGGCAGGUCUCUGGGCUGACACUGACGCUCAUGCACGAAAGCGUGGGGAGCAAACAGG
rnacentral:rRNA from 1 species